ensembl:lncRNA
CCGGGUUCUAAGGCCGGAUCCAGAGAGCCGUUGGGAGACGGUUGGGCGUGGCAACGGACGCUAUCCGAAGGUCACGCCCACUCCGGACUAGGGGGCGGGGCUUCCUAACGGAAGCUCACAUGCCAAGUCCUGGAACACCGGCUCUUCCUGCUAACUGCUUUGGGGUUGCGGAAUGGUAAGACCCUCCACCGGAUGAGGACCUCUAGCUUUGAGGAAUCAGAGGAUUGGAGCGGCCAUAGGGACACUAAGAAGGGCAGCGGUUGUCUGCGUUGAGACCCGUGCGGCGAGUAGCUCGGAGAAUGUAGGCGCAGCCGUCGCCGCUGCAGAGGCCCCAGGCGCGGAUCUGCAGGGCAGUGAGUGUCCCCAUGUGACCCGCGCGCUGCUGGGACCUAAGGGCACGUAUGGGAGCUGCCGCCUCCGCCGAGGGCUCGAGUCUGCAAGGCAUGCGCGACGCUGACACCUUGGCUGUGCAUCCACGAGGGGCUGGAACUCAAGAAGAAGCACCGCUCUUUUUUUUUUUUUUUAAUUCUUUUUUUCGGAGCUGGGGACCGAACCCAGGGCCUUGCGUUGAAGCACCGCUCUUGUAGCCCUCCUGAGAGGCGAACUGGAGGUGGCCAGUCUUUGUCUGCACAACAGGAUGCGGAACCAUCGCUCAGCAUCGUCCCCUCCGCAUUCGGAGCGGACGGAACGAUCCCUGCUUUGCACCCCAGCCACUGGAAAACAGGAACGCCUCACCGAGGAGGAAGGGAAGCGCCAAGGUCACCGUGAGUUUUAGGUCAAACCAAGAAACGAAGGAUAUCAAGUAUAAGGGCUGUGGUCUCCGGCAGGUGGAGUGGGAGGGCGGGCUCCGAGUUUAGCGCACUGUAUUACAGUGGCUUCGGGAGAAAUAACUUUCGUUUUGUGUCGUAACCUUAAAAAUCCAGACAUGAAACGGAAGGGAAACAGGUAAUGAAAAUCACAUGUACUCCUGAGAGCUGCGGGACACCUGUUAAUUUUAAUUUGUUAUACUUCUAGGGAGUGCUGGAGGGAGGUGGGGAACCAGGCAUUUUUUUCCAACGCUCGGGAGGCUGGAGGGUUUCUGGAGUUCAGGCCAGCUUGGUCUACACAGUGAGUUCCAGACUAGUUCUCUCCCACCCAUCCACCCAGAAAAUAAAAGCAUGGCUGGUUUCUUGAUUCUUUAUGUGACAGAGAACUUUUCAUUACACCAGUACAAUGAACACGAACAAAUACACUCUCUCCCUGGCACGUGUUUGGAGUUCAUGGUCCAAAUUGGAAAGCAGCCCAUUUUGAAGACUCACUUCUCACCAGAUAAGCAAAAUAAACAAGGUCAUCCAUCAACAUUGGCUCCUAGUUCGGUGCUUUUCAGCAGGGUUUAUGAAGCCUGAACUGGUCUCAAACGUUUUGUUCCUAUCAGUGUCUCCCUGGUGCAGGGUUUCGUGUAUGCCAACUUACUGUCUUUUAUUACUUAAUAGUUGAUUUUGGUUUUUUCCUCCCCUUAUAUAGGAUCUCACUGUGGCUGGCCUGGAUCUCACUAUUCAGUUCUGGCUAGUUUGAAACUUGCUAUGGAGACCAGGCUAGCCUCAAACUCACAGAGAUCCACCUGAGUCUGCUGCCCAAGAGCUGGAAUUAAGUGCAUCAUCCUGCCCUGCAGACCUGCUAUCCUGUUUAUUCAGUGGUAGAGUAUGCCUUUUAUCAGAACAAGUAUAGAUUAAGCUGGCAAGUAGUUUUGCAUGGAUCAAAUCAGGAAAACAUCUUGGACAGUAUUCAAUUUACCUGUUGACUUUGCUAUUUUAGAUUUCUCCCCAGAUUUUGAGACUAUAUGUAGUCUAGGCAAGCCUUGAAACUUUUUCUUUUUUGAUAUUAAUGUUUUGCCUGUAGUAUAUCUGUGCACCUAUGUGUACCUAGUGUCUACAGAGGCCAGAAGUAGUUGUCAGGUCCCUGGAGCUAGAAUUAUAUACAGUUGUGAGUACAUACUGGGGAUUGAAUCUUGGUCCUUCUUGGACAACAAGUGCUCUUAACUGCUGCCUCAUCUCACAGCUCUGGCCUUGAGCUCCUCAUGCUGCCUCCACCUCCUCAAGCACUAGAAUUACAGGCACGCACCACCCACCAGACCUGGCACUUCUCUUUUUCUCCCCUUUAAGAUUUAUUUAUUAUCUAUAAGUAAACUGUCCCUGUCUUCAGACACACCAGAAGAGGGCAUCAGAUCCCAUUAUAAGUGGUUGUGAGCCACCAUGUGGUUGCUGGGAAUUGAACUCAGGACCUCUGGAAGAACAGACAGUGCUCUUAACCGCUGAGCCAUCUCUCCAGCCUCUCAUUUUAUUUUCUUCAUGGUUAAUUUCUAUGCUUAGCAAUAGCCGGGGUUGGGGAUUUAGCUCAGUGGUAGAGCGCUUGCCUAGCAAACGCCAGGCCCUGGGCAAGCGCUCUGCCACUGAGCCAAAUCCCCAACCCCUAAAUAAAUUUUUUUAAAAAGGAUAUAGAGCAAGGGAUAGGAAAAAUGACUCAGCAGUUAAGAGUUCUUAAAAAAAAAAAUUAAGGGAUUUGCAAAGAAAGCAGCUGGAGCAGACAAAUGCAUUCACAGCACAGGAAUCAGUCCAUGGCAGCGCUGUCAGAGCAGAAGUCAGCAGUAAGCUAGGUGAGUAUCAGACGUAGAAACAAAUAGGACACCUAGGGCUGCAGUGAACUGUCACUCAACACCAGUGAGAACUCGGCUUCUUUAGAAAAGCAAAACGAAAGGCAGAAAUACUACAAGAGUAUGUUUUCAUUUUAAUCCGAGGUAUAGGGUUGCUUCAGACUGUGCUUCAGGGGUGUGCGUCCGACCAGCCACAGGGGCCGACUAUGAUUUGCCUCAUGUUCUGGCAGAAGCAUCAUUUUUGCCAGCUACAGAUAGUGUCUGCAGUUGUGUGGGUUUUGAAUUCUGGGGGCUUUUCAGAGGGGGUGUAAGUGCUAGGGCCUCAGAGGGGUAGAUGGUUGGUUGGUAGGCUGGUGCUUUGUUUGCUGUUGGUUGUGGUUUCUUAAGUAGUUGUGUGCAAAGAAGAAAUUAGAUAUCCUGACUGUGAAGAUCAAACUUGCCCCCAGGAACUCAGCACCCUUAAUAAGCAGGAAGUAGUGACAUGCUUCCAGAAAGACAGCCUCCUGAGCCUACCCAAACAGCACCCGGAAUCAGGGACCAAAUGCUCAAACAUCUUUUAAGAAGCCAUUGUCGGGGUUGGGGAUUUGGCUCAGUGGUAGAGCACUUGCCUAGCAAGCGCAAGACCCUGGGUUCGGUCCCCAGCUCCGAAAAAAAGAAAAAAAAAAAAGCCAUUGUCAUUCAAACCACCACAUUCCACUUGACUCCAUAACCAUAGCAAACUGCAGUCUACAUUCAGAUCAAAAGUUCCCAUAGUCUUUCUCAGUCUCAACACUGCUCAAAAGCCCACAGACGCUUCUGAGACUCAAAACAAUCUCUUAAUUGUAAUCGCCUGUAAAAUCAAAAGGCAAAUUACACAGUUCUCACAUACAGUGGCACAGAAUAUAUUACCAUUCCAAAAAGAAGGAAUGGGGGCUUGGUGAAAAACGACUAAAAGACCAAAAGCAACACGUGAGCUCUAAAGCCUGUGUGUAGUUCUAUGUCUGAUGUCAGUGGCUGAGAUGGCUCUGUGUGUCCAGCCUCGCUGCCCUGCAGCACAGAACUCAGGAUGGUUUCAUUUCCUGUGUGCGGCGCUCCUUGGCGGGUGUCCCAUGAAUCUGGCAUCUCCCAUAGCUUGGAAUUUUCAGUGCAGCCCAGACUUCACUUUCACAGCUUCACACAGUGAAUUAAGGACUUCAAACAGGAAUUCCCCUGCCACAGGCUACCUUUGCCUUGCAGAAAGAGAGCUUACCUGGGUGGAUUUGCUUGGGGGACCUCAUUCCCUUUGUUCUCUUGGGCAGAGCAGGCCUGUCCUUCCUGGUGCUGAUCUCAGUUCCAGCCUUCUGUGUAAUACUAAGCCUCCAGGGUCUUUUCCUUCUCUUCAAUAUAUACAUGUUAUGUUUGUUUCUGUCUCAUUGCCCCUUCUCAUUGAAGACCUACAUAAGCAUUGGCAACAAUAACCAUAGACUCAACAUAUGUUUGGAAUUCCUCCACCAAAGAAAUGUUAACCUCUGCUUUUAAGUUUAGACUCAGGCAAGUUCUCCAGACAAGGGCAGAAGGCAAGCACAUCCUCUGCCAAAGCCGUCCAGGGACGACGCCUGCCUAGUCGCCACUGCUGUUCCCUCUGAGACCUUUGGAGCUGGGCCGUCACAGCCCACAUUGCUCGCUGGACUACGGUGAUCUUUAUACUUUCUUUCAGGGGUCAAGGGGUCAACUGCUACCUUUAGUCCGGAAUUACUAAGUCUUCCACGCUCUUCAAAAAAACAAGGUCAGGUCUAUUACAGCAACAGCCCACACUCUAGUUCUAACUUCUUCUUCUUCUUCUUCUUCUUUUUUUUUUUUUUUUUUUUGUGGCUGUUUUGUUUUGUUUUUUCAAGACAGAGUUUCACUGUGUGGCCAUGGCUGUCCUGGAAUUUGUUCUGUAGACCAGCCUCAGAGAUCUCAGAGAGCUGCCUGCCUCUGCCUUCCUCCCAAAUGCUGGGACUAAAAGCAUACACUGCCACCACCCAGCUACCAACUUCCUAGUUACUUUUCUGUUGCUGUGAUUAAACACCAUGACUAAGCCAUGCCACUGUGGUGCACAACAUCAAUCCCAGCAAGUAGAUGAAUAAGUUCAAGGCCAGCCUGGUCUAAGUUUGAGGACAGCUGGAACGGGGUUCUCUAGAGUCACAGAGGUGAGGAUUCCCUUAUACGUGUAAAGGGAAUUCGUUGGAAUGACUCACAGGUUGCAGUCGAGCUCGUCCAACAACAGCCAGCUGUGGAUGGAAAGUCCAGGAAUCCAGUAGUUACUCCAUCCCACAAGGCCGGGUCUCCCAUCUGCUCUUCUGUAUCUGCUGGACCUGGAGAAGUAGGCUCCAGUGUUAGUAAAGGAAUGGAUGUGCUAAAAAGGCAAGAACAAGCAGGCAAAGAGCAAAAGCUUCUUUCUUCUGUGUCCCUAUAUGAGCUUCCAGCAGAAGGUGUUGCCCAGGUUAAAGAUGUGUGUCUUCCCACCUCAAUAUUCAGAUCAAAAAACCUGUCUUCUCUCUUCAGAGGUGCAGACUAUCUGUCAUAGGUGUACCCUCCAUUUCUGGAUGUCAGGUUGACAACCAAGAAUAGUGUCACAACUAAGGCUACGAUGAGAAACCCUGCCUAAAACAAAAAACACCAGGACUAAAAGUGACUUCUGGAAGGAAGAAUUUUCUGGCUCCAAUGCUACUUCUUCAUGAGACCACACCCCCAAACCUUUCCAAACAUCUCAACCAACUGGGGACCAAGUGUUAAAUGCCUGAGUCUAUGCGGUCUCAUUCAAGGCAGCACAGAAGCCCCAGCUGCAGUUAAUCCAUUUCUCCAGCCUCACAAGGUCUGAAACUACAGGCCUGCACUACUACAGGCCUGGCUGUUUGUUGAGUGUGUGGGGCAUUUUUUUGAGGGAUGGUCUCACCACCUAGGCUAGCCUAUAAUAAGCAUUAAAUGUCAUCAAGGAGAGACCUGCUCCACCCUGGAAAAAAGGGAAGGGUUCCCUCAGAGCAGGACUCCCUAAGGGGUUUUCUGGCACAAGGGUAUCCUGGCAGUUGGGAACCAAGAAAUACCACAAAGUCACACCACACAGCAAACCUCACAGAAGAUUUAUGGAGAGAGACAGAACGGUGAUUGCCUCUGGGUGGAACAGCUACAGCAGAGGGCAGGGUGCAGGGGAAGGGUUCUCUAGGCUUUAGGAACAUGCACAGUGCAUGAAGAAGUAGAAAAGUACAGAGCUGUCCUAAGCAUUGUUCGAUGUUAAUGCUGAACCCCAAGGAAAGGGAUUUCCUAGUCUCAGGAGCCGGGGUCAAGCCAGGGGCAGGCUAUUCCUCCCUUUUAUGUUUGGUAUUGAUAACUAACCAGGAAUCAGGAAAGAGGACAUUAUCAUUAAACUACUUCCUGCUCUGUGGGGUUUUAAGUCCAGGGGGUGAGCAUGAUCUUCACCAUCAGAGCAUGCUCAAGGGUUAUAGGUCUCUGGCCCCUACAGUUUGGUGGAGAAGCGGGGUUAGGGAGGGUAGUAUCCAGUUCCAUACAGGAUCACCAGUGAUCAUCCAUCAGCCAGAGGCGUGGAGCUGUUCUUUAUUUAAUUUUUGGACAUCUGGCGUUGUCAGAUCUUGGCAUUACUGUAGCUAACAGACUGACACGGAAACAGCACUCCCCCUUAGGAGGCGGCAAAGGCCACUUCUCUUCACUGUUGGUAGAUCUAAUCCUCAUCGAUUUUCUAAUGGUUUUUAAGUUGUUUGCAUGGGAGCUGGAGAGAUGGCUCAGUGGUUAAGAGCGCUGACUGCUCUUCCAGAGGUCCUGAAUUCAGUUCCCAGCAACCACAUGUGUAAUGGGAUCCAAUGCCCUCUUCUGGUGUCUGAGGACAGUGACAGUGUGCUCCCCUACAUUAAAUAAAUAAAUAAAUCUUUCAAAAAAGAAAGUUGUUUGCAUGGAAACAAAUUUCUUAAAGUCAGACAAUAGCUUAUGUGUCCUGCAAAAAGCAGGUCAAGUACCCUAUCAUGUUGCAGAACGUUGUAAGUGAAUGAAUCUACCUAUUGAUGGAUUUGGGUCUAUUUGGUUUUAACAGACACCUUUUCU